GCCGGUGUAGCUCAGCUGGUAGAGCAGCUGACUUGUAAUCAGCAGGUCGGGGGUUCGAAUCCUCUCGCCGGCUCCA
rnacentral:tRNA from 3 species